AUGUCCCAGCCGCCAGCACCCCCGGUCCACUGGCACCCCCUCACCCACCCUCUCCUCUUUAUUCUAUUCCUAGAUGGUCACCUGUAAGGCCUCUCCUGGCCUGGAGAGAGGCUGUCCCUCCCAAUGCUCCAGGCAUUGAGAACCUGGGGAAGCAGGCGGCUGAUCAGGGCCCCAAAGCGCAAGAGCCGGCCUCUACACCUGGGGGCGAAGACAGAACAGUGACCCCUGCUCCUAGCACAUCCCAGCCCUGCACCGCAUCCUCCCGACCCCACUCACGCGAGGAUGAGUGCAGAGAGCAGGUCCAAGGCUUCCAGGUGGAGGGAGGGCAGCAGCAGCAACCGCAGGGGACCGUCCCCAAGCAAACUCUGCAGAAAAAAUUAGCAGAGUAAGGAGUGGGGGAAGAAAGUGAGGCAAAGAAAGAGAAAUGGAGGCAGGAUACAUGCAUGUGACUGAAUACACAUGUGCACACAGGUAAGGAACCCACACCCGACCCCAACUCCCCCAACAAGAUCUAACUGCCAUCCUCCUCAGCAGACCCUGCAAGGAGGACGAGGGAGGGACAGCCGAACCUCGCGGCAGUGACGCAGCUGGCCCCCAGCUCACCCUCCCCUGAGGAAGCAUCUGCUACAAGUGCUCCCGCAACACGGGAGCGAAUCGGCACUGAUGUGCGUGUGCUGGGAGCACGGGAAUAACGGCAUCUGGAGAGGCCCUCGCUCCCUCUGACACUCACACACCUGAGCAUGAGCCCCAGGCAGCGGGCCAGCCCGGAAAACCUCUGCCAAAGCCGGAGAAGGACAUGGGCAUCGCCAUCUUCUGAGGGGGAGAGCAGCGUCUCCACCCCAGGGCCUUCGUACUGCAUAGGAGCUGGACAGAAACACAAACACCUUCACACGCCAGACAAGGAAGCACCACACUCUAAGGGGCAUCAUGCCUGGGUGCAGACAUGCUCUCAUGGUGGAAAGACACCCUGAAUGUCGCCUCUUGUCCUUAGCCUCCCUGUUUGAGGCCUGUGUCCCACAGACGACUGGGCCCCCUCCUGCCAAUCUUUGCAAAAUGACAGUCAUCUCCCUCAAGCCAAAGACACAGCACUGAAAAGCAGCUACCUCCACGCCCCAACUCCCUGCCAGCUCAGACAAGAAGCAAGGGUCCAAGCUGGGAGCUGCGGCACUAACCAGAGGUGCGAGGGCAGGACAAGGUGGAGAGAGAAGGAAAGGCUGCCCAGCAGGACUGAGGUAGCACAUCUCAGAGCAGCGACCUGUCAGUUAGCCAACAACAGUACUCCGCCUGCUAUGUGAAGGCGCCGGCACAGGACUGUUUAACUGGGGCCCCAUUUAGCUGGAGGUAGAAUCAAAGGGGCCUGUGAACAUGGAAGGGAAAUUUUUUAAAUCAUUUUCACUAACCUGUAAAUGAAGUAUAAUUUUUUUUUUUUUACUGUAUAUGUAGACAAAAAGCCACAGUAGUAUCAGCAGUACCUCUGACUGUCACCAUCAGAAAUCACUUAUUUUCAUUUCACGUUACAUAUAGUUGUAAACAGUUAUCUUGAAUUAUCAUUCACGUGCAUCACUAAUUUGAAACUUAGUUACCAGACCUGCUGCUAGAUCCUGUUAUUUGACACGUUAGUAAAGCAGCACAUCCCACUCUAUCACAAUUUUUUAAAGUAUACAUUUCAACAGAAUCAGUGUCCCUUGCAACUGCAUGUAUUUUAUGGAUUUAAAAACAUUCGAAGAGGUCUAUGGCACAAAAAGGGUGAGAACGCUGAAGUAUAACAGGAUUUCCACCUUCAGUGGGUGUAACAGUCGGGAAGACAAAUGCGUGGAAAACAAAGAGGGAGCGUCAGGAGGGACUGAUGCUGCGAGGCAGGACUGAGCUGGGUUUGGGAGAAAAGGGAGGACCCGGAUAAGGAGACAGAGGGAGGGACACCAUGAGGAGAGCUCCAGGCUCACAAGAGGCCCACGGAGAAGCAGGCCGGGCCUUAAAUCCCAGGCUAGUGUGUAUGGACUUCAUCAGGGGAUGGCGGCAUCACAGCCACAAAGGUAAACUUCCAGAAGACCAGGGAGACAAAUCAACAGUGGCACCAGGUACGCAGCAGGGGACUUAUGGGAGGAAGCAGGCACGGGGGUCUAGCAGUGUAUGGUCCAGAAAGCAGCCCUCCAAGGGCUCCCUGCCAUCGCCCUGUGACAGGAGCCACAUCUGGUUUCCCACAUUCCACUGCAGGAUUCUCACCAUGAGACAAGCACUGUUACAGCUGAUCCCAGGGUAUGAGAAGGCCUAGAACCGUUUCCCUUGGGACUUGGAAAGCAUUUUCAGGUCCGGUGUGGUAGGGUUGCACACUUCAAACCAAAAGCAGCAACCGCCCACAGGUCUCCUGACACCGGCUUCUCCAAGGAUGACAGAGAGUCGCCAAAGCCUUAUCUACAGUGGCACUCGGCCCUUUUGGCCAACUUACUGCUCACACUUUCCCUGAGACUCUGAGUCAAAAAGCUGGACUGAGGCCACCAAAAGUCUGCUUACGUGACUGCAGUCAAGCAAAGUACAGGGACAUGGCUCUGACCACAGGUCUACCCCAAGUGACCUGCAAAGCCAACCAAAGUAACGGCUCACUUGGAACAUUUCACUGGAAACGCAAGCACGCGUGCACACACAGUACGUCCUGGGUGUCUCUUAAGAGUGGGGUGAGUCUUCCCACUCAUUCCAGGGAACAAAUAAUCUGUCGAGGAGGAAAGGUAAAGCCUCUACAGGACUGACUGCAUGGACUCAGAAUGCCUGAGAUACCUCAUUUGGGAGGGGUCAUCCUGAGCUUGGAGAUUGCAAUUGCCCUGGGAGCUUCUGGGGGAUGGAAUAGAGAACAGAUAGACACUCCAAUUAUCAGUUCCUAAGUACUGGUCUGCAAGACGUUUCAAGUACAAACUGCCCCCGGGGCCUCCACACAAGACAGAGUCUUAUCUGCCAUGUAGGCAACAGACAAAGCCAGACUCCUCAACAGAGGGAAGUUCUCCAGAUGACACUGUAUUCUUAGAGAAAUAAAGGCAUAUGCACCCCGUAACAACAUAUGAAAGUUUUGUUGUUUGGUUUGGAGAAGGUACUUAAAAUGCAGGCCAUAACUUCAAAAACUACACGUCUGACAAAAGGCUGUGAGUUAAAGAUGAAUUCUCCUGACCACCACUCACAACGAAAAUUAAGGGGCACUAGCAGAGGACUCACGGGCAGGCUAGUCUGACUACUCAAAUCUUGACCCCAUAGAUAACACUCAAUUCUCCCUGCACUUUCCUGGGAGGAUGCAGGUAGGUAUAGAUAACCCCAAACCAAGCUGAAUCAAAGCAGGCGUAUGCAGUAAAACCUCACGUACUUUGACCAAUGAGGGGUCAGAGACAAAGAUCUAGCCCGUGCAAUUUAAGAAGUUAAUUUACAGAGCAUUCUAGAAGAAAGUUUAGUUUAGUAAACUAAACUUAGUAAACUUUAGUUAAAAAAAACACUUUAAUAAAAUCCCCAAGUUACUCCAAAUGCCUUCUUGACAAAGUCCUGCCCUGCUACCCAAAGAUUCUACUACCUGCCAUUAGUGGCAGUCAUAUGAAAGCAAAGCAUCAGCAAGGACGGGACCCAAGUUCACUGAGAAAUAUCACCUGCUCCAGGGCUUUUCAAAUACUGCAAGUAACCAGUUACCAAAGUACCACUCCCAGACCACAGCGCACGUGCCCCCAGAGCUCCGCGUCAGGCUCACGAUCCUUCCCAAGCCACUAACAACUGAUCAGAGCCGGCAUCAGUGUGGAAGCCUGUCUGUCAAUCCUGUCCACGUUCUUAAAAGUGCCUGGGGAGUUUGGUUUGGUGGAAAAAAACAUGGGCAUGAAGGACAAAUAGUUCUCACUCUCACCCUGGUUCUACAACUACCAGAUACACAGGCUUGUGUUAGUCAAACCCUUGUGGACCUGUUUCCUCCUGUUUAAUUCGGUGACACCAGCUCUACAGAAUUACUGUAAACUGAGAAGACACACAGCGGAGUGCCUGGCACAUAGUGAGUAGCAGUUCUACUAAGUACCAGUUCCCUUUCCCUUUGACUUUCUUAACUUGGUCAUAGAACCAUGUGAGCUUACUUUCAAGAUAACUUGUAUGGCAAACUCCCCCUUAAUUGGUAAUACUGAGUAUAGUAUUACCAAUUACUGUGAUUAACCACGAGUUAUGCAAAAAAAUAUAUUAAUUUGCCGCUAAUUCCAGUUCUCCAUAGGUUUGUGCUUCCAUGUGAGAAAGGGGGUGCCCAACGGUUUGUCAAGCAAUGAUGAGUGUAUCAAAACAAGAGAGAACAUCUAAUCGACAGGAGAACACCUGUUUGUUCUUAGGUACUUCUUGGCAUUGAAUUAUUCUGCAAACAAUCAAUGUACCAAUUCCAAAGGCCCUUUAACUGUUACUGCUUUGGCAGAAUUUGAUAACCAUUCAUAUUUGUUAUUUUAUCUCCUUGAAAAUAAAACGAAUUCUU